rnacentral:lncRNA from 1 species
CUGGCAUGAAGCGCGGCCUCCGCCUUGACACUAAGUCAAUGGGCCCGCCUACUUCUGCCUCGCGGCGUCCCAGGCAGAUAGCUGGUUAUUCAGGUUUCGUUGGAAGAAAUACGUUCUCGUCCCCCUGAAAGGCCCAGUCCAGUCAGGUGCACAAAGCAGGGUCAUCAGAAGCCUCUUGAUUCAAAAGAUGAUAAUACCGAAAAACACUGCCCAGUGACAGUGAAUCCUUGGCAUAUGAAGAAAGCUUUCAAAGUCAUGAACGAAUUAAGAAGUCAAAAUUUACUGUGCGAUGUCACAAUUGUGGCAGAAGACAUGGAAAUUUCUGCUCAUAGAGUGGUGCUGGCCGCCUGUAGUCCUUAUUUUCAUGCCAUGUUUACAGGUGAGAUGAGUGAGAGCCGAGCAAAGAGAGUUAGAAUAAAAGAGGUAGAUGGCUGGACCCUGAGGAUGC